GCGGCGCUGGGAUAGCGGCGGGGGGUGGCGGGAUUCCUGUGCCCGCUCCUCCCUCCCCUUCCCCCUCCCGCACCGGCACGAGUUGGGGCGGUCGUGCCGAGGGGAAGCAGGUCGCGCGGCACCGCGCUGCUCUUUCGCGAAGUCUCCGAGUGCGGAGCGCUGCCCCGCGCCGUGCCCGCGGGCACAGGGUGCGGCACGCCCCGGGCGCGGUCCCAGCCGCUUCCGCAGCGCUGAGGAGAAGUGCCUGGCGGGGGGCGCUCCGCCCCGCGCUGCGGGGAGCGGCUGUGGUGAGCGGUGUGGUUGUGAGAGAAGAAGGGCGGAGCAGAAGCAAAAAGCAACAGAAAUCCCUUCUGUGGUGACUUCAGAGUGCGGCCGUUGUCCCGCAGUACGGGAUGUCCUUUCUCUUGUAAAUGCUCCGAGCACGCGGCCGUGCCAAUGGCCGUGCCGGGCGAUGGGGGUGCGCGGCACCACGCGCUGCCGUGCGCGGGCACCGCCAUCGUAAGUCGCUCUGAGCGCGGGCGCUGCGGGGCGGCACUACGAGAGAAGAAUUAAACCUGGUUUUGUGCGAGGUUAGAGAUCCCGGCAGCGCCUCUCGCACUGACUUUGUCUUCUGUUCUUGCACAUGUAUAUCUAUUGAAUCUAUCACGGUAAAAAUCGGAUGGCAAAUUUCUGUGUAGCACUAUCCGGAUUUCUUCGGGAAGAGGAAUUCUUGUAGUGCAGGCUUGAUAACAGAUAAUCAAAUUACACGUUGGCAUUCAAGACAUGCUUAAAAUAUCAACCUCUCAGCGGUACGGAGGGUGUUAACAGCCUUGAACUCUGCACCCUCGGAGCGCCUUGUGGCGCUGACUUUGUAACCCGGCGCCUACGGUUACCCCGCCUGCAUCGCCGGUGGUGCCUCUUUAACAAACAAUAGAUCCGGAAAAACGAAUGCACAGACAAAUCCUUAUGGCCUGCACAUCAUCUGCAGCAGCUAGAAAUUACAGAGAGGAGUUGGGGCACGUUUAUGGCCUAAUAACGUGCUUAAUCCCACUUCAUCAUCCUGUUGCACUGACAUCAUACGAACAGCUUUGCAGCAGCUCCUCAGGCUAAUGUUGGAACAGACUUCUCCACAGAGAGUGUGUUGAAUUCAUGUUCUCUGGAUAACAGAAAUUGAGUCUAGAGAAACGGAUCAAGAUGGAAGUCCAGAAAUGGGCAUAGAAACCAACCAGAAGACCAGGUCUGCUCUCAUUCCCACUCUGCUGGAAAGAAAAUUGGUGGUGCAGGUUAAGACAAGAAUGAAGGAACACUGAGAAGCUAAUUAAAAAACCUGCUUUCAAUCAACUGGGAAAUUCACAGCUAAUUAGUUGUAUAUGUCACAGCUUCUCAAGUU